AACGUAGGUGGCAAGCGUUAUCCGGAUUCACUGGGCGUAAAGCGAGUGCAGGUGGUUUUGUAAGUUGGAUGUGAAAUUUCCCGGCUUAACCGGGAAGGGUCAUUCAAUACUGCAGGACUUGAGGGCAAAAGAGGGGGGUGGAAUUGCCGGUGUAGUGGUGAAAUGCGUAGAUAUCGGCAGGAACACCUGUGGCGAAAGCGGCCCCCUGGUUUGCUCCUGACACUCAGACUCGAAAGCUAGGGUAGCGAACGGG
rnacentral:rRNA from 1 species